rnacentral:rRNA from 1 species
AGAGUUGAUCUGGCUCAGGAUGAACGCUAGCGAUAGGCCUAACACAUGCAAGUCGAGGGGCAGCACAUGAGUAGCAAUACGAUGGUGGCGACCGGCGCACGGGUGAGUAACACGUAUGACAACCUACCUUUAACAGGGGAAUAACCCGUUGAAAAACGGACUAAUACUCCAUAACACAGGGGUCCCGCAUGGGAAUAUUUGUUAAAGAUUAAUCGGUUGAAGAUGGGCAUGCGUUCCAUGAGCUUGUUGGUGAGGUAACGGCUCACCAAGGCCACGAUGGAUAGGGGAACUGAGAGGUUUAUCCCCCACACUGGAACUGAGACACGGUCCAGACUCCUACGGGAGGCAGCAGUGAGGAAUAUUGGUCAAUGGAGGCAACUCUGAACCAGCCAAGUCGCGUGAAAGGAUGAAGGUCUUAUGGAUUGUAAACUUCUUUUGCAAGGGAAUAAAGUGGGGGACGUGUCCUCCUUUGCAUGUACCUUGCGAAUAAGGAUCGGCUAACUCCGUGCCAGCCGCUGC